rfam:Flavobacterium sp. LM4 Flavobacterium_sp_LM4_contig6, whole genome shotgun sequence.
CCCUAGCCCUGAUGGUAGCGGCAUCCUUUUGUGCCGGGGUUCGGCGCAAAAGAUACAGCGGACAGCAGGAAACAGC